CACCAGGCGCGAAAACUUUACAAUGCCGGCAACGGCGAUAAGGGAACCUCGAGUGCCAGGUUACAAAUCUGGCUGUCGUGAUGCCUAAAAAGCAUUGCAUAGCAAGGGCCGGGCAAGACCGGUGCCAGCCGCCGCGGUAACACCGGCGGCUCGAGUGGUAACCGUUAUUAUUGGGUCUAAAGGGUCUGUAGCCGGCCGGGUAAGUCUCUUGGGAAAUCUGGCAGCUUAACUGUCAGGCUUUCAGGAGAUACUGCCUGGCUCGAGGCCGGGAGAGGUGAGAGGUACUUCAGGGGUAGGGGUGAAAUCUUGUAAUCCUUGAAGGACCACCAGUGGCAAAGGCGUCUCACCAGAACGGACCUGACGGCAAGGGACGAAAGCUAGGGGCACGAACCGGAUUAGAUACCCGGGUAGUCCUAGCCGUAAACGAUACUCGCUAGGUGUCGGCCACGGUGCGACCGUGGUCGGUGCCGUAGGGAAGCCGUGAAGCGAGCCACCUGGGAAGUACGGCCGCAAGGCUGAAACUUAAAGGAAUUGGC
rnacentral:rRNA from 1 species